AGAGUUUGAUCCUGGCUCAGGACGAACGCUGGCGGCGUGCUUAACACAUGCAAGUCGAACGGAGUUAAAUUGAAGCUUGCUUUGGUUUAACUUAGUGGCGAACGGGUGAGUAACGCGUGAGUAACCUGUCUCAUACAGGGGGAUAACACUUGGAAACAGGUGCUAAUACCGCAUAAGACCACAGUGUCGCAUGGCACAGAGGUCAAAGAUUUAUCGGUAUGAGGUGGGCUCGCGUCUGAUUAGAUAGUUGGUGAGGUAACGGCCCACCAAGUCAACGAUCAGUAGCCGACCUGAGAGGGUGAUCGGCCACAUUGGAACUGAGAUACGGUCCAAACUCCUACGGGAGGCAGCAGUGGGGAAUAUUGGGCAAUGGGCGCAAGCCUGACCCAGCAACGCCGCGUGAGGGAAGAAGGUUUUCGGAUUGUAAACCUCUGUCCUAUGUGAAGAGAAGAAGACGGUAGCAUAGGAGGAAGCCCCGGCUAACUACGUGCCAGCAGCCGCGGUAAUACGUAGGUUGCAAGCGUUGUCCGGAUUUACUGGGUGUAAAGGGCGUGUAGGCGGAGAUGCAAGUCAGGAGUGAAAUCCCGGGGCUCAACCCCGGAACUGCUUUUGAAACUGCAUCCCUUGAGUAUCGGAGAGGCAAGCGGAAUUCCUAGUGUAGCGGUGAAAUGCGUAGAUAUUAGGAGGAACACCAGUGGCGAAGGCGGCUUGCUGGACGACAACUGACGCUGAGGCGCGAAAGCGUGGGGAGCAAACAGGAUUAGAUACCCUGGUAGUCCACGCUGUAAACGAUGAAUAUUAGGUGUGGGGAGGGACUGACCCCUUCCGUGCCGCAGUUAACACAAUAAGUAUUCCACCUGGGGAGUACGGCCGCAAGGCUGAAACUCAAAGGAAUUGACGGGGGCCCGCACAAGCAGUGGAUUAUGUGGUUUAAUUCGACGCAACGCGAAGAACCUUACCAGGACUUGACAUCCAACUAACGAAGUAGAGAUACAUUAGGUGCCCUUCGGGGAAAGUUGAGACAGGUGGUGCAUGGUUGUCGUCAGCUCGUGUCGUGAGAUGUUGGGUUAAGUCCCGCAACGAGCGCAACCCCUAUUGUUAGUUGCUACGCAAGAGCACUCUAGCGAGACUGCCGUUGACAAAACGGAGGAAGGCGGGGACGACGUCAAAUCAUCAUGCCCCUUAUGUCCUGGGCUACACACGUAAUACAAUGGUCGUCAACAAAGGGAAGCAAAGCCGCGAGGUGGAGCAAAUCCCCAAAAACGAUCUCAGUUCGGAUUGCAGGCUGCAACUCGCCUGCAUGAAGCUGGAAUUGCUAGUAAUCGUGGAUCAGCAUGCCACGGUGAAUACGUUCCCGGGCCUUGCACACACCGCCCGUCA
rnacentral:rRNA from 1 species